rnacentral:rRNA from 1 species
ACGCACGCUGGCGGCGUGCCUAAUACAUGCCAGUCGAGCGAAGUUUUUCUGGUGCUUGCACUAGAAAAACUUCGCGGCGAACGGGUGAGUAACACGUAAAGAACCUGCCUCAUAGACUGGGACAACUAUUGGAAACGAUAGCUAAUACCGGAUAACAGUAUUUCUCGCAUGAGAGAUAUUUAAAAGUUGGUUAUGCUAACACUAUGAGAUGGCUUUGCGGUGCAUUAGCUAGUUGGUGGGGUAAAGGCCCACCAAGGCGACGAUGCAUAGCCGACCUGAGAGGGUGAUCGGCCACACUGGGACUGAGACACGGGCCAGACUCCUACGGGAGGCAGCAGUAGGGAAUCUUCCGCAAUGGGCGAAAGCCUGACGGAGCAACGCCGCGUGAGUGAAGAAGGAUUUCGGUUCGUAAAGCUCUGUUGUUAGGGAAGAAUGGAUAUGUAGUAACUAUACAUGUAAGAGACGGUACCUAACCAGAAAGCCACGGCUAACUACGUG